GCGGGUCUGCCCGAGGGGCUAGGCACCGGCCUCCCAAGCCGACCACGCGGGUUCGAUCCCCGCGGCCCGCU
rnacentral:tRNA from 1 species